ACUCCUACGGGAGGCAGCAGUGGGGAAUAUUGGACAAUGGGGGAAACCCUGAUCCAGCCAUGCCGCGUGUGUGAAGAAGGCCUUCGGGUUGUAAAGCACUUUCAGUGGGGAGGAAAGGUUGAUGGUUAAUACCUAUCAGCUGUGACGUUACCCACAGAAGAAGCACCGGCUAACUCCGUGCCAGCAGCCGCGGUAAUACGGAGGAUCCAAGCGUUAUCCGGAAUCAUUGGGUUUAAAGGGUCCGUAGGUGGAUGAUUAAGUCAGAGGUGAAAGUCUGCAGCUCAACUGUAGAAUUGCCUUUUGAUACUGGUUAUCUUGAGUUAUUAUGAAGUAGUUAGAAUAUGUAGUGUAGCGGUGAAAUGCAUAGAUAUUACAUAGAAUACCAAUUGCGAAGGCAGAUUACUAAUAAUAUACUGACACUGAUGGACGAAAGCGUGGGGAGCGAACAGGAUUAGAUACCCUGGUAGGAUAGCGU
rnacentral:rRNA from 1 species